UACGGAGGGUGCAAGCGUUAAUCGGAAUUACUGGGCGUAAAGCGCACGUAGGUGGUUUGCUAAGUCAGCUGUGAAAUCCCCGGGCUCAACCUGGGCACUGCAGUUGAAACUGGCAAGCUAGAGUAGGGUAGAGGGGUGUGGAAUUCCAGGUGUAGCGGUGAAAUGCGUAGAUAUCUGGAGGAACAUCAGUGGCGAAGGCGACACCCUGGACUCAUACUGACACUGAGGUGCGAAAGCGUGGGGAGCGAACAGG
rnacentral:rRNA from 1 species